rnacentral:misc_RNA from 1 species
UUAAGUUCAGCGGGUAUUCCUACCUGAUCCGAGGUCAACCUUGUGCCGCCGGAGCGGACUUGUGGGGGGUUUAGAGGCAAGAGUCCCGUGGGCUCCCGAUGCGAGGCGAAUGCUACUACGCAAAGGAAGGGCCGCGACGGGUCCGCCACUGGUUUUGGGAGACUACGAAACCGUAGGACUCCAACGCCAAACCACGAGGG